CCUACGGGUGGCAGCAGUGAGGAAUAUUGGUCAAUGGGCGGGAGCCUGAACCAGCCAAGCCGCGUGAGGGAAGAAGGUACAGCGUAUCGUAAACCUCUUUUGUCAGGGAACAAAGGCGGGGACUAGUCCCCGGAUGAGGGUACCUGAAGAAAAAGCAUCGGCUAACUCCGUGCCAGCAGCCGCGGUACUACGGAGGAUGCGAGCGUUAUCCGGCUUUAUUGGGUUUAAAGGGUGCGCAGGCGGCCUGUUAAGUCAGCGGUAAAAGCCCGGGGCUCAACCCCGGCGAGCCGUUGAAACUGGCGGGCUGGAGUGGGAGAGAAGUACGCGGAAUGCGCGGUGUAGCGGUGAAAUGCUGAGAUAUCACGCAGAACCCCGAUUGCGAAGGCAGCCGGCCAAGCCAUGACUGACGCUGAUGCACGAAAGCGUGGGGAUCAAACAGGAUUAGAUACCCUUGUAGUC
rnacentral:rRNA from 1 species